AGAGUUUGAUUCUGGCUCAGAACGAACGCUGGCGGCGUGGAUAAGACAUGCAAGUCGAACGAGAGAAUUGCUAGCUUGCUAAUAAUUCUCUAGUGGCGCACGGGUGAGUAACACGUGAGUAACCUGCCCCCGAGAGCGGGAUAGCCCUGGGAAACUGGGAUUAAUACCGCAUAGUAUCGAAAGAUUAAAGCAGCAAUGCGCUUGGGGAUGGGCUCGCGGCCUAUUAGUUAGUUGGUGAGGUAACGGCUCACCAAGGCGAUGACGGGUAGCCGGUCUGAGAGGAUGUCCGGCCACACUGGAACUGAGACACGGUCCAGACACCUACGGGUGGCAGCAGUCGAGAAUCAUUCACAAUGGGGGAAACCCUGAUGGUGCGACGCCGCGUGGGGGAAUGAAGGUCUUCGGAUUGUAAACCCCUGUCAUGUGGGAGCAAAUUAAAAAGAUAGUACCACAAGAGGAAGAGACGGCUAACUCUGUGCCAGCAGCCGCGGUAAUACAGAGGUCUCAAGCGUUGUUCGGAAUCACUGGGCGUAAAGCGUGCGUAGGCUGUUUCGUAAGUCGUGUGUGAAAGGCGCGGGCUCAACCCGCGGACGGCACAUGAUACUGCGAGACUAGAGUAAUGGAGGGGGAACCGGAAUUCUCGGUGUAGCAGUGAAAUGCGUAGAUAUCGAGAGGAACACUCGUGGCGAAGGCGGGUUCCUGGACAUUAACUGACGCUGAGGCACGAAGGCCAGGGGAGCGAAAGGGAUUAGAUACCCCUGUAGUCCUGGCAGUAAACGGUGCACGCUUGGUGUGCGGGGAAUCGACCCCCUGCGUGCCGGAGCUAACGCGUUAAGCGUGCCGCCUGGGGAGUACGGUCGCAAGAUUAAAACUCAAAGGAAUUGACGGGGACCCGCACAAGCGGUGGAGUAUGUGGCUUAAUUCGAUGCAACGCGAAGAACCUUACCUGGGCUUGACAUGUAAUGAACAACAUGUGAAAGCAUGCGACUCUUCGGAGGCGUUACACAGGUGCUGCAUGGCCGUCGUCAGCUCGUGUCGUGAGAUGUUUGGUUAAGUCCAGCAACGAGCGCAACCCCUGUUGCCAGUUACCAGCACGUGAAGGUGGGGACUCUGGCGAGACUGCCCAGAUCAACUGGGAGGAAGGUGGGGACGACGUCAGGUCAGUAUGGCCCUUAUGCCCAGGGCUGCACACGUACUACAAUGCCCAGUACAGAGGGGGCCGAAGCCGCGAGGCGGAGGAAAUCCUAAAAACUGGGCCCAGUUCGGACUGUAGGCUGCAACCCGCCUACACGAAGCCGGAAUCGCUAGUAAUGGCGCAUCAGCUACGGCGCCGUGAAUACGUUCCCGGGUCUUGUACACACCGCCCGUCACAUCAUGGAAGCCGGUCGCACCCGAAGUAUCUGAAGCCAACCGCAAGGAGGCAGGGUCCUAAGGUGAGACUGGUAACUGGGAUGAAGUCGUAACAAGGUAGCCGUAGGGGAACCUGCGG
rnacentral:rRNA from 1 species